CCUCAGCCGCCAUCUCGGCCUUUCGGCGCGUUGAGCCACGUUGUGGUCGGAAUGGUGCUGUGGACCUCUCAAUGCCUCUUGGUGGCAUCGCAUAGACAGUUCUGGGACAAAGAUGGAUGAAGAGUGAGGACCAAUGGGAGAAGCUGGAUUAACCAUGGGUGUGCAGGGUGCUGUGACCAGAAACUACAAGAUGAAAUGUGUUUGAAUUAUCUGGACAACUUUUAAACUACUGGUUGCAUGUUUUCAUUUGGAUGGCUUGCUUGCUUGGGCGUGAGUAUUUUGCCUACAUAACAGAAGAGGGCAAUCAGAUCCCAUUAUAGAUGGUUGUGAGCCACCAUAUGGUUACUGGGAAUUGAGGAGCACCAGAAGAGUAACCAGUGGUCCAGAUUGACCUUGUAAAUGAAGGUGUGCAUGGCUCCCCUUGACUGAAGGCACUGGGCAAGCUUUUAAAAAAAAGAUCCUUCAUUUCUGAAUUUCAAGGGCUCCUAUGGCAGAAGUGGGCAUGCAAUUUCACUAUUUGAAUUUCACCUUACUGUUUAAAAGGUGGCUGGAUGGAUGUUCAGAUCAUACUUCGGGUUUUCACAUUAUGAGAAUUGUUAUCAAAAUAAAUAGAAUGUGGAAUUAAA